UACGGAGGGUGCAAGCGUUAAUCGGAAUUACUGGGCGUAAAGGGUGCGUAGGUGGUUUGGUAAGUUAUCUGUGAAAUCCCCGGGCUCAACCUGGGCAGGUCAGAUAAGACUGCUGAACUCGAGCAUAGGAGAGGGUAGUGGAAUUUCCGGUGUAGCGGUGAAAUGCGUAGAGAUCGGAAGGAACACCAGUGGCGAAGGCGGCUACCUGGCCUGAUACUGACACUGAGGCACGAAAGCGUGGGGAGCGAACAGG
rnacentral:rRNA from 1 species